rnacentral:lncRNA from 1 species
UAUAUAUAUAUUUUUUUCUUCUUUUACCUAGAUCCAAUGAGAACAGGGCACUAGCAUUACCAGUCCUCCAUCCUCUCCUUCCCUACAUGGCUAAGGGCACGAAUUAAACCACUUAGCCAAGGUGAUCACCAUCUGGAAGAACUCCUCAUCACCUCCAUCAUCAAACUCCUCUGGAAACCGCCCCCCCCCUCCCUUCCAAGCACACGGAGGCAGAAUAAUGAGCUGAGGUGCUGAGAGGUCCGGCAUAGGGAGGUAGAGUGAGAACCC